rnacentral:miRNA from 1 species
CACUUUCCAUCCCUCGUACUGU